rnacentral:misc_RNA from 1 species
AAAGUCGUAACAAGGUUUCCGUAGGUGAACCUGCGGAAGGAUCAUUAAUGAUUCUGACGGAAUGUGCUGGCCUCAUCAGAGGAAUUGUGCACUUCCUCAAAAUCUCAUUCACCUGUGCACAUAUGAUGGGCAUUAGAAAGGAAACCAAGACAAUUGGUUUUCAACUUUUGCUCGUUGCAUUUUUUCACACUAAACUAUAAUAUUGUAUUUGAAAAAUCAAAUGUAACAACUUUCAACAAUGGAUCUCUUGGUUCUC